CCUACGGGUGGCAGCAGUGGGGGAUAUUGCACAAUGGGGGAAACCCUGAUGCAGCGACGCCGCGUGAGUGAAGAAGUAUUUCGGUAUGUAAAGCUCUAUCAGCAGGGAAGAAAAUGAUAGUACCUGACCAAGAAGCCCCGUCUAACUACGUGCCCGCAGCCGUGGCAAUACGUAGGGGGUCAGCGUUAUCCGGAUUUACUGGGGGUAAAGGGGGCGUAGACGGUUAUGGAAGUCUGGAGUGAAAGCCCGGGGCCCAACCCCGGGACUGCUGUGGAAACUGGGUACCUGGAGUACAAGAGGGGCAGGCGGAAUUCCUGGUGUAGCGGUGAAAUGCGUAGAUAUCAGGAGGAACACCGACGGCGAAGGCAGCCUGCUGGACUGAAACUGACGUUGAGGCUCGAAAGCGUGGGGAGCGAACAGGAUUAGAUACCCCUGUAGUC
rnacentral:rRNA from 1 species